AGUGUAGGCGGUCCGUCAAGUUGGUUGUGAAAUCUCCUGGCUCAACUGGGAGGGUGCGACCAAAACUGACGGACUAGAGUCCGGGAGAGGAGAGUGAAAUUCCUGGUGUAGCGGUGAAAUGCGUAGAUAUCAGGAGGAACACCGGUGGUGAAGACGGCUCUCUGGACCGGUACUGACGCUGAGACUCGAAAGCGUGGGGAGCAAACA
rnacentral:rRNA from 1 species